AGGAGUUACCAUAUCAGCACUAAUGCGCGGGAUUCCAUCAGAACUAUGAAGAUAAGUGUGCUUGGGCGAGAAUGGUACUUAUUGAUAUGUCACAUAUGAUUUCUA
rnacentral:rRNA from 1 species